GAGGUAGGAGGAUCACUUGAGUCCAGGAGGUCAAGGCUGCAGUGAGCUGUGAUCACACCACUGCACUCCAGCCUGGAUGACAGAGCAAGACCCUGUCU
rnacentral:miRNA from 1 species